UAAUUAAAUUUCUAGACAAUAGAGUGUAGAUAAAUUUAAAAAAAAAAAAAUAUAUAAUCUUAAUACCCUAACCUCGACGUGUCACCGCGAAACAAAACCACAUUGCCGUGAUAAGAGCGAUAUACUGUAAUUGGUGCAAUGUGCAUAACGAAUAUCUUAUCGGGUUAAAAAAAAAAAAAGAGUACCAAAAAUGAUUGAAAAUACGUUUAGAACGUGCAUACGACGUGUACACGUGUAAACGUGUAAACGUGUACACGACAACAGAAUAUGGUAACACGUAAUUUCAAGAUAAAAUCACUUCGAUCCAUUCUCGCUGACACAUUAUGACGUAAGAAUGAAUAAUAACUUUUCGAAUAUUUUGAAAGUAAAAAAAAAAAGAUGCGAAAAAGCGUAUUAAGCGCAAGCGAUCCAAAACAGUAAUAAAUAAAAAGGAAGCCAACGUGUGUAGCAUCGUAAUAGACCAAUAUUGCAGCGGAAAAAAAAAUCGAAUAUCUAUACAACUUAUACUUUUAAAAUUAAUAGAAUAUUAUAUUUUGUUUAAGGUGCAUCUUAAUAUAAUAGGUACAGUGAUAUAUGUAAUUAUUUGUUAUGUAUUGAUUAUUAUAAACGAGAAAAAC